rnacentral:rRNA from 1 species
AUUGAACGCUGGCGGCAGGCCUAACACAUGCAAGUCGAGCGGAUGAAGGGAGCUUGCUCCUUGAUUCAGCGGCGGACGGGUGAGCAAUGCCUAGGUAUCUGCCAGGUUGUGGGUGAUAACGUCUGGAAACGGGCGCUAAUACCGCAUAACUACUGAGGGAGUAAGUGGGAGAUCUUCGGACCUCACGCUUUCCGAUGAGACUAGGCCGGAUUAGCUAGUUGGUGGGGUAGAGGCCUACCAAGCCGACGAUCCGUAACUGGUCUGAGAGGAUGAUCAGUCACACUGGAACUGAGACACGGUCCAGACUCCUACAGGAGGCAGCAGUGGGGAAUAUUGGACAAUGGGCGAAAGCCUGAUCCAGCCAUACCGCGUGUGUGAAGAAGGUCUUCGGAUUGUAAAGCUCUUUAAGUUGGGAGGAAAGGCAGUAAGUUAAUACCUUGCUGUUUUGACGUUACCAACAGAAUAAGCACCGGCUAACUUCGUG